CCUUCGGGAAGUGCAUAAAGUGGCGCACGGGUGAGUAACACGUAAGUAAUCUACCUUCGAGUGGGGAAUAACGUCCGGAAACGGACGCUAAUACCGCAUAAUGCAGCGGCAUCGUAAGAUGACAGUUGUUAAAGGAGCAAUUCGCUUGAAGAGGAGCUUGCGGCAGAUUAGCUAGUUGGUAAGGUAAUGGCUUACCAAGGCUACGAUCUGUAACCGGUCUAAGAGGACGGUCGGUCACACUGACACUGAAUAACGGGUCAGACUCCUACGGGAGGCAGCAGUCGGGAAUUUUGGGCAAUGGGCGAAAGCCUGACCCAGCAACGCCGCGUGAAGGAUGAAGUAUUUCGGUAUGUAAACUUCGAAAGAAUAGGAAGAAUUAAUGACGGUACUAUUUAUAAGGUCCGGCUAACUACGUGCCAGCAGCCGCGGUAAUACGUAGGGACCAAGCGUUGUUCGGAUUUACUGGGCGUAAAGGGCGCGUAGGCGGCAUGACAAGUCACUUGUGAAAUCUCCGGGCUUAACUCGGAACGGUCAAGUGAUACUGUCGCGCUAGAGUGCGGAAGGGGCAAUCAGAAUUCUUGGUGUAGCGGUGAAAUGCGUAGAUAUCAAGAGGAAUACCUGAGGUGAAGACGGGUUGCUAGGCCGACACUGACGCUGAAGCGCGAAAGCCAGGGGAGCAAACGGGAUUAGAUACCCCGGUAGUCCUGGCCCUAAACGAUGAAUACUUGGUGUCUGGAGUUUUUAGUGCUCCGGGUGCCGUCGCUAACGUUUUUAGUAUUCCGCCUGGGGAGUACGCUCGCAAGAGUGAAACUCAAAGGAAUUGAC
rnacentral:rRNA from 1 species